rnacentral:rRNA from 1 species
GAUCAUGGCUCAGAUUGAACGCUGGCGGCAGGCCUAACACAUGCAAGUCGAGCGGUAGAGAGAAGCUUGCUUCUCUUGAGAGCGGCGGACGGGUGAGUAAUGCCUAGGAAUCUGACUGGUAGUGGGGGAUAACGUCCGGAAACGGACGCUAAUACCGCAUACGUCCUACGGGAGAAAGCAGGGGACCUCGGCCGUUCGCGCUAUCAGAUGAGCCUACGGUCGGAGUUAGCUAGUUGGUUGGGGUUAAGG